rnacentral:rRNA from 1 species
GACGAACGCUGGCGGCGUGCUUAACACAUGCAAGUCGAACGGAAAGGCCCUGCUUUUGUGGGGUGCUCGAGUGGCGAACGGGUGAGUAACACGUGAGUAACCUGCCCUUGACUUUGGGAUAACUUCAGGAAACUGGGGCUAAUACCGGAUAGGAGCUCCUGCUGCAUGGUGGGGGCUGGAAAGUUUCGGCGGUUGGGGAUGGACUCGCGGCUUAUCAGCUUGUUGGUGGGGUAGUGGCUUACCAAGGCUUUGACGGGUAGCAGGCCUGAGAGGGUGACCGGCCACAUUGGGACUGAGAUACGGCCCAGACUCCUACGGGAGGCAGCAGUGGGGAAUAGUGCACAAUGGGCGGAAGCCUGAUGCAGCAACGCCGCGUGCGGGAUGACGGCCUUCGGUUUGUAAACCGCUUUCGCCUGUGACGAAGCGUGAGUGACGGUAAUGGGUAAAGAAGCACCGGCUAACUACGUG